rnacentral:lncRNA from 1 species
UGACACCUUAAGAAAUUUUCCUUUCACAAACCCCCUCGGAAAUUUCAACUUGGCACACCCUCAGAAAUUCAAAAUUUCAGACUCCCUUCGGAAAAUCUAGUCAACAGGAGGGUGUUGAUAUUAAAUGGAAUGGCCCUGUACUUCGUAUUAAUAUAUAACUACAUGAACUAAUUAUUAAAAAUAAACUGACCUUUAAACUGAAGAACUUGAUUGGCUUGUACACAUUGGUUUCUUUGUCAUAUAGUUCAAUUGCUGUUGCUUGUAAAUGUUUUAUAAACCAGUACAGCGAAGUAGCGAAAUUUCGGGCCGUCUUUCACAACAAAUAACAUCACAAUAACUGCACAUCUUUUUCUCUUUAAUACAGAAUCAUUUUCCCCGUCCAAUGAGUUAUAAUUUCCAAAACGAACCAGUCGCUAUAACGUAAAAUAAGCGGGUAUUUGUGAACAAAAAUGCCCUUUGAUACAACACGAGGUAACCAGCGCCAUCUUGUCUUCUCCAAACAUUACAGAUUUUCCCGCCAAAACCCG